AACGAACGCUGGCGGCAUGCCUAACACAUGCAAGUCGAACGAGACCUUCGGGCUUAGUGGCGCACGGGUGCGUAACGCGUGGGAACCUGCCCUUAGGUUCGGAAUAACUCCCCGAAAGGGGUGCUAAUACCGGAUAAUGUUUUCGGACAAAAGAUUUAUCGCCUUUGGCUGGGCCCGCGUUGGGUUAGGUGGUUGGUAGAGUAAACGCCUACCAAGGCGACGAGCCAUCGCUGGUCUGAGAGGAUGAUCAGCGACACGGGGACUGAGACACGGCCCAGACUGCUGCGGCAGGCGGCAGUGUGGAAUAUUGGGCGAUGGGCUGAUGCCUGAUCCAGCCGUGCCGCGUGAGGGAUUAAGGCCUUAAGGUUGCAAAGCUCUUUUACCCGGGAUGAUAAUUGCCGUACCGGGAGAAUGAGCUCCGGCUAACUCCCUG
rnacentral:rRNA from 1 species